ACAGACACAUGUAACCUUGAAGGGACUAUUUGCACAUUCCUAUAUGCAGGGAUCAGUGUAUGGUUCUCGGUCGGCAGUGACAACAGUGACAACAUGUAACAUUGAAGGGACUAUUUGCACAUUCCUAUAUGAAGGGAUCAGUGUAUGGUUCUCGGUCGGCAGUGACAACAGUGGAGUCGAUAGCUUAGGUUAUAUACCAUAUAAGUUUUUACCAUACAGGUAGAUAUUUUCAAGUGCCAGGCGAGCAUAUACUGAAAGUAGUUGUGGUGUUGGUGCCAUGGAGUUCCUAGACUAACCCUAGCUAGGCUAAGGGUAUUUGUAAACAUGGUGGACCCAUCACCUACCUGCCACUGAUGACAGGUAGAUGUCUCACUAACGACAGGAUAGAAAGCAUGCCGUUACACUGAGAGGGUCUGUUUGAAAAUACUGAUGCACCUAACUACAUACCAUCGUCAGAGCUUUAAGUAUGAUGCACUUUUGGUUAUACAGUCACAAUCUUGCCUGUAUCAAGUUGAUAUGAUGGAUCAGAUAACAAGUACCAGAUGACACGGAAGUAGAGAUGAUUAUCUGCCCUCUUCAUGCUCCUCCUGACUAUCCAACUGCUGUGCAUCCCGACCACGUGAAAGGAGGAAGUAGUUCUGUGUGCAUCCACCCCCAGACUAGCGGCAGUCAUGCAGUCUUGUCAAUGGCAGUUUUAUAAUUUAUGUCCACAAUGCUGUUUGUGAAUACUGUCCAUAAGUCAUAUAUUUUUUAACUGUUUUUCCUUCUAUGGCGAUGUUCUCCCUUGUUUAUAUGUUUUCACAUCAUGUGACAAGAGUCAGCCCUAAUUCAUUUGUAAAUUUAAUUGUCAAAAGAAAUAAAUGCUGCUCAUUUUACAAAUUAUGCCUAUUUCAACCAACCUUGUUCAUGGUGUUGUUUCAACCUUUUUCAAAAUGAUUGUUUUUUUAAUACAAAAUCAUGUUUAUGUUUAAACGAAUACACAUGCAAUAUACCUCUUAAGUUUGAGGUCUAACCCAUUCAUCAUA
rnacentral:lncRNA from 1 species